rnacentral:tRNA from 1 species
ACCAGUGUGAUGUAGUGGUUUGGGCACUGGACUAUGGCUUUGGAGAUCAGGGUUGGAAUCCCUGCUUUGUCA